rnacentral:rRNA from 1 species
ACCAGACUCCUACGGGAGGCAGCAGUGGGGAAUAUUGCGCAAUGGGCGAAAGCCUGACGCAGCGACGCCGCGUGGGUGAAGAAGCGCCUCGGCGCGUAAAGCCCUGUCAGCAGGGAAGAAAAUGACGGUACCUGGAGAAGAAGCCCCGGCUAACUACGUGCCAGCAGCCGCGGUAAUACGUAGGGGGCAAGCGUUAUCCGGAUUCACUGGGUGUAAAGGGAGCGUAGACGGCGACGCAAGUCUGGAGUGAAAGCCCGGGGCCCAACCCCGGGACUGCUCUGGAAACUGCGUCGCUGGAGUACGGGAGGGGCAGGCGGAAUUCCUGGUGUAGCGGUGAAAUGCGUAGAUAUCAGGAGGAACACCGGCGGCGAAGGCGGCCUGCUGGACCGUGACUGACGUUGAGGCUCGAGAGCGUGGGGAGCAAACAGGAUUAGAUACCCCUGUA